UUUGCUUUUCAUACCUCUAUGCUCCAUUUCUGCAUUGCAGGGGCGCUCUUUGCUUUUCAUACAUCUAUGUUCCCUUUCUGCAUUGAAGGGGCGCUCUUUGCUUUUCAUACCUCUAUGUUCUUCCUAUCCCUCCCUUUCCCCCUUCCGCCUCCGCUCUCUUCUCCCAUUGGUUGUUGCUUGGGAGAUCCCGCCCCUUUCCCCUUCCUUCGCUCCCUCAUUGGUCGAAGCGCGUCCUGGCAGAUAUGUAGUGCGGGGGCGUUUUCCAUCGUAGCCGCAAUAAUACAAAAUAAAUAAUAAUAUAAUAUCAGAGAUAUAUGGUAUUCGAGCUUAUUAAUAAUCGUUACGUAUUAUUAUGUUGUUUGAAUAUUAGGUGUAUGGAUGUGUCAGGAUUGGCGACGGAAGGGACGGGUUGUGUGAUGGACCUGCCAGGACUUGGGGGCGGGGCAAGGGGCGUGGCUUGGCGCGUGAGGGAGGGAGGGAGGAGGGGGGAGAGCCGGGGAAGGGAACAGCCAAGAUGGCGGCCGGGGUGAGGCGAGCGAAGCGCCGCUGAGGAGAACAAAUUCGGCCGGUGAUCUAAAAAAUCCGAAACUUGGGAGGAGUAGUCCCCUGGCCCGUGGGCGGAUCGUGACAAAAUUGAUGGCAUUGGUGACAAGUAUUAUUACUACUACUAACAGCAACAACAACAACAAUAAUCAUAUCCCGGGAGUUAACGUUUUGCCUGUCGCCUCUUCUACCCACGAAUGCUGGAACCUCAUCAUUGGAAGUAGUCGAAUUGGAAUCUGUGGGUCCUAUACCGCAAAGAACACCUUGCUGACCCAAAGCGACAGGCAAAAUAAUUAUUACAUGUUCCAGAAGCAGUCUCUCCUGACGUUUCACCCAUACCUAUGGCAGGCAUCCUCUGGCGAGAGAGGGCGGUCUAGAAAUAAAGUUUUAUUAUUAUUUUAUCAUUCUUAUGUUAUUCUUAUUGGAAAACUAAGCAAGGGGGGUUUAUAUCUCCUAGGCUCCAAUGGCAUUGAGCUGUUGCAGGUUUUUUUGGGAUGAUGGGAGCUGUAGUUUGACAAGGCUCCGGCACUCUUGGACAGAGGAGGCAAAAGACCUUGCAAAACCCGAACUCCCAGGAUAUUAUUAUUAUUAUUAUUAUUAUUAUUAUUAUUAUUAUUAUUAUUAUUAUUAUUAUUAUUAUUAUUAUUAUUAUUAUUACUACUAUUGUCAUGUAAUUAUAUUUUCCAAAUGGCUCAAUGAUAUAUCAAUGGGAUUCCUUAUGUCUUUUCUCUUUGUCGCCCUCCUGUGGACAGAAGAAUAUUGCACUUGCCUUGGGAUUCUGAUUCGCAGCUCUUUGCUGCCAUCAAAUGGUCAGAGAGGGAAGUGCAGCCUCGAGCCUCGCCUUUGUGCUGCACUUCCCUACCUGACCAUUUGAUGGCAGCAGAGAGCAAAGAAUCAGAGUUUCAAGGCAAGUGCAAUAUUCUUCUGUCCACAGGAGGGUGACAAACGGAAAAGCCAUUAGGACUUAAUGUAAUAUUAAUUGAUAUUUCUUUGAGCUAUAACAGUUUAAAAUAAUACUAAUAUUAAUAAUAAUAAUCUUGGGAGUGAGAGGUUUGCAAGGCCUUUCCCCUCCUCUACCCAAGAGUGCUGGUGCCUUGCCAAACUACAACUCCCACCAUCCCAUGCAACCUCUGCUACUUUGCAACCGCAGAAUACUAUGGCCAUGUUCCCGAAGCAUUCUCUCCUGACGUUUUGCCCACAUUUAUGGCAGGCAUCCUCAUAGGUUGUAAAACUAAGUAAGGGAGGUUUAUCGAUCUCUGGAAUAAUGUCCAGGGCGAGAGAAAGAACUCUUGUCUUGGAGGCGAGUGUGAAUGUUGCCAUUGGCCGCCUUGAUCAGCAUUGAAUGGCCUUGCAGCAUCAAAGACUGGCUGCAUUGCUGCCUGGGGGAAUCCUUUGUUGUGAACGCGUUAGCUGGCCCUUAUUGUUUCCUGUCUGGAAUUCCUGUAGACUCGCAGGCCUGGGAUAGUGAGCAGUUAUCGCACUUUAACUCUCCUUUUUAUAAAUAUUUGAGUUUUUCUUUGCUGCCUAGAAACCAUAACUUUUGGGGCUUUUUCCUUCUAUUUUCCUUUCAUUCUGCCUUCCUGCUUUCAAAAUGGCUUAAAGUUAGAUGUACGUACAAUAUAUUUUAUUAUUAGCAAAGCACACCAUUAGCAUUAUAUGUUAGUAUAUUGUACUAUAACAUCACACUGCAUUAUUAUUUAUAAUAUAUAUUAAUAUAUUGUAUUAUAUUGUAUUACUUUAUAAUAUAAUUAUCAAUAUUAUAUGUAUAUACAAUAUAGGUUAAAGGUAAAGGUUUUCGUGACCGACUCUGAGGUUUGGUGCUCAUCUCCAUUUCUCAGCUGAAGAGCCAGUAUUGUCCAUAGACACCUCCAAGGGCAUGUGGCCACAGACAUGACUGCAUGGAGCACCGUUACCUUCCCGCCAGAGCGGUACCUAUUGAUCUACUCACAUUGGCAUGUUUUCAAAAGUAGUUUUACAAGCAAAGAGAAACUUCCUGACCCAAAGCCAUGCCUGUCUACAUUGAGGGCUCCUGGGAGCUGCAGUUUGGCAUGGCACCAGAACUAUCUGGUUUGGGCCCUUGUAAAACUAGACCUCCCUGGGUCCUAUAGCAGGUAGUUUGGCAGAGGAGGCGAAAGGCCUAGCGAACUAUAUCACUGAGGUUCCCAUAGCAUUGAGCUGUUGCAGAGGUUGUAUGGGAUGGUGGGAGUUGUAGUUUGGCAAGGCACCAUUACUCUUGGGCAGAGGGGGCGAAAGGCCUUGCAAACCUCUAACUCCCUAGAUUAUUAUUAGUAGUAUUAGUAUUAUUUAAGAUAGCCAUGGCUCAAAGUAAUAUCAAUGAGAUCCCCAUUAAACCCUUAUGGCCUUUCCGUUUGUCGCCCUCCUGUGGACAGAAGAAUAUUGCACUUGACUUCAGAUUCUGAUUCUUAGCCCUCUGCUGCCAUCAAAUGGUCAGUUAGGGAAUUGCAGCCUCAGUGUUAUAUUUCCCCCCAAAAUUGCCUUGAGAUUCUCAUCUGCAAUCCUUUGCUGCCAUCACGUGGCAUAUUCGAGAAGUGCAGCCUUGAGUUUUAUUUACUGCAUCGAACCCAUAAUUUUUUGGUUUUUUUCCAUUCAUAUUGGCUUCCUGCUUUCAGAGUGGCUUACAAAUUAUAUGUACGUACAAUAUAUUAUAUAUUAGCAUAGAACAACAUUAGCGUUAUAUAUUACUACAUUGCACUAAGACAUCAUACUGUAUUAUUAUUAGUAAUAUCACAUGUAAUAUAUAAUUAAUAUUAUUACAUUACUAUUGGUAUUACAUUGUAUUACAUUCUAAUAUAAUUAUCAAUACUAUAUGUAUAGACAAUAUAUAUAUUAUUCUAUAUUAUGUUGUAUAUUGGCCCCAGAGCAUCAGAUGGUGAUGGGGGGAGGGCCCCCCAACUGAUGGCAUAGGCAACAAGUGUUACUACGGCUACUAGCAGCAGCAACAACAACAACAACAAUAAUAUCCCGGGAGUUGAAGUUUUGCCUGUCGCCUCUUCUACCCACGAAUGCUGGAGCCUCAUCACUGGAAGGAGUCGAAUUGGAAUCUGUGGGUCCUAGACCGCAAAGAACAACUUCCUGACCCAAAGCCAUGACUGUCUACGUUGUGGGCUCCUGGGAGUUGCAGUUUGGCAUGGCAGCAGCACCUCUGGUUUGAACCCUUGUAAAACUAGACCUUCCAGGGUCCUAUAGCAUGUCGUUUGGCAGAGGAAGCGAAAGGACAAGAGAACUAUAUCUCCCAGUGUGUUGUUGAAGGCUUUCAUGGCCAGAAUCACUGGGUUGUAGUGCAUUUUCCGGGCUGUCUGGCCAAGUUCCAGAAGCAUUCUCUCCUGACGUUUCGCCCACAUCUAUGGCAGGCAUCCUCUGGGGAGAGAGGGCAGUCUAGAAAUAAAGUUUUAUUAUUAUUUUAA